UCUGGUUGAUCCUGCCAGUAGUCAUAUGCUUGUCUCAAAGAUUAAGCCAUGCAUGUCUAAGUAUAAAUAGUAUACAGUGAAACUGCGAAUGGCUCAUUAAAACAGUUAUAGCUUAUUUGAUAAUUGACAAUUACAUGGAUAACCGUGGUAAUUCUAGAGCUAAUACAUGCUUAAACGCCCGACUUUAUGGAAGGGUGGUAUUUAUUAGACUGAAGCCAAUAUUCCUUGUGUCUAUUGCGGUGAUUCAUAAUAACUGAUCGAAUCUCUUUUUGAGAUAAAUCAUUCAAGUUUCUGCCCUAUCAGCUUUCGAUGGUAGUGUAUUGGACUACCAUGGCAGUAACGGGUAACGAAGAAUUAGGGUUCGAUUUCGGAGAGGGAGCAUGAGAAACGGCUACCACAUCUAAGGAAGGCAGCAGGCGCGUAAAUUACCCAAUCCUGACUCAGGGAGGUAGUGACAAGAAAUAGCAAACCGGGAACCUCAUGGUUUCACGGUAUUGCAAUGAGAACAAUUUAAAACCCUUAGCGAGAAUCAAGUGGAGGACAAGUCUGGUGCCAGCACCCGCGGUAAUUCCAGCUCCACUAGCGUAUAUUAAAGUUGUUGCAGUUAAAAAGCUCGUAGUUGAACCUCUGUCUGGGGCUAGUUUUGGCUUUGGUCAGGCUAGUUCUAGGCAUCCGCCUACAAGACUUAGAGGGCAUUCAGUUGUUCACUAGGAGGAGUAGGCAUUUUACUUUGAAAAAAUUAGAGUGUUUAAGGCAGGCAAUCGCCCGCAUAUAUUAGCAUGGAAUAAUAGAAUAGGACACUUUUCCAUUUCGUUGGUUAUUGGAAUCGUGUAAUGAUUAAUAGGGACAGUUGUGGGCAUUUGUAUUUAAUUGUCAGAGGUGAAAUUCUUGGAUUUAUUAAAGACAAACUAACGCGAAAGCAUUUGCCAAGGAUGUUUUCAUUAAUCAAGAACGAAAGUUAGGGGAUCAAAGACGAUCAGAUACCGUCCUAGUCUUAACUAUAAACUAUUCCGACUCAAUGUUUGACUGGCUUAUAUAACCAGUUGAGCGUUGUAUGAGAAAUCAAAGUCUUUAGGUUCUGGGGGGAGUAUGGUUGCAAAGCUGAAACUUAAAGGAAUUGACGGAAGAGCACAACCAGGAGUGGAUUCCGCGGCUUAAUUUGACUCAACACGGGGAAACUUACCAGGUUAAAACAAUAGUGGGAUUGACAGUUUGAGAGCGCUUUCUUGAUUGGUUGGGUGGUGGUGCAUGGCCGUUCUUAGUUGGUGGAGUGAUUUGUCUGCUUAAUUGCGUUAACGAACGAGACCUUAACCUGCUUACUAGACUGGCGAUC
rnacentral:rRNA from 1 species